CCUACGGGAGGCAGCAGUAGGGAAUUUUGCGCAAUGGGCGAAAGCCUGACGCAGCAAUGCCGCGUGUAGGAAGAAGCAUCUUGGUGUGUAAACUACUGUCGGCGGGGAAAAACACAAUGAUUGUACCCGCAAAGGAAGCAUCGGCUAACUACGUGCCAGCAGCCGCGGUAAGACGUAGGAUGCAAGCGUUGUCCGGAUUUAUUGGGCGUAAAGAGUUCGUAGGUGGUAAUUCAAGUCUAAUGUGAAAUCAUAGAGCUUAACUCUAUUCCCGCAUUAGAAACCGAAUUGCUAGAGCAAGGUAGGGGUCAGAAGAAUUCCUGGUGUAGCGGUGAAAUGCGUAGAUAUCAGGAGGAACACCGGUGGCGAAAGCGUCUGACUGGGCCUUUGCUGACACUGAGGAACGAAAGCUAGGGGAGCGAAAGGGAUUAGAUACCCCAGUAGUC
rnacentral:rRNA from 1 species